rnacentral:rRNA from 1 species
AUUGAACGCUGGCGGCAGGCCUAACACAUGCAAGUCGAGCGAGCGGCGGACGGGUGAGUAAUGUCUGGGAAACUGCCGGAUGGAGGGGGAUAUCUACUGGAAACGGUAGCUAAUACCGCAUACCAUCAGAUGUGCCCAGAUGGGAGUAGCUAGUAGGGGGGGGAACGGCUCACAAAGGCGACGCUCCCUAGCUGGUCUGAGAGGAUGACCAGCCACACUGGAACUGAGACACGGUCCAGACGCCUACGGGAGGCAGCAGUGGGGAAUAUUGCACAAUGGGCGCAAGCCUGAUGCAGCCAGGCCGCGUGUAUGAAGAAGGCCUUCGGGUUGUAAAGCACUUUCGGCGGGGAGGCGUUACCCGCAGAAGAAGCACCGGCUAACUCCGUGCCAGCAGCCGCGGUAAUUC